rnacentral:rRNA from 1 species
GGGCUUGACAUCCCACGAACCUGAAAGGGUGGCCCUGGUUUGGUAACAUUCCACAGCAAGACAGGUGUUGCAUGGCUGUCGUCAGCUCGUGUCGUGAGAUGUUGGGUUAAGUCCCGCAACGAGCGCAACCCUCAUCCGAUGUUGCCAGCGAGUAAGGUCGGGAACUCUUCGGAAACUGCCCGUGUAGGCGGGAGGAAGGUGGGGAUGACGUCAAGUCAGCAUGGCCCUUACGCCUGGGGCUACACACAUGCUACAAUGGACGUGAACAAAGGGCAGCAAGACCGCGAGGUGGAGCUAAUCUCAAAAAUACGUCCUCAGUUCGGAUCGCAGUCUGCAACUCGACUGCGUGAAGUCGGAAUCGCUAGUAACCGCAGGUCAGCUAAACUGCGGUGAAUACGUUCCCGGGCCUUGUACACACCGCCCGUCACAUCACGAAAGCCGGCUGUACUCGAAGUCGCUGAG